rnacentral:rRNA from 1 species
ACGGAAGGCAGCAGUGGGGAAUAUUGCACAAUGGGGGAAACCCUGAUGCAGCGAUGCCGCGUGGAGGAAGAAGGUUUUCGGAUUGUAAACUCCUGUCUUAAAGGACGAUAAUGACGGUACUUUGGGAGGAAGCUCCGGCUAACUACGUGCCAGCAGCCGCGGUAAUACGUAGGGAGCGAGCGUUGUCCGGAAUUACUGGGUGUAAAGGGAGCGUAGGCGGGACUGCAAGUCAGAUGUGAAAUGCCGGGGCUUAACCCCGGAGCUGCAUUUGAAACUGUGGUUCUUGAGUGAAGUAGAGGCAAGCGGAAUUCCUGGUGUAGCGGUGAAAUGCGUAGAUAUCAGGAGGAACACCGGUGGCGAAGGCGGCUUGCUGGGCUUUUACUGACGCUGAGGCUCGAAAGCGUGGGUAGCAAACAGGAUUAGAUACCCUGGUA